GAGUUUGAUCGUGGCUCAGGACGAACGCUGGCGGCGUGCCUCAUACAUGCAAGUGGAGCGACGAACCAGGCUUCGGCCUGGGGCAAAGCCGCGAACGGGUGAGUAACACGUGGGUCACCUGCCCCGAUGAUUGGGACAACCCGAGGAAACUCGGGCUAAUACCAAAUGUGCUCCUGGCCGUGAUGGCCAGGUGGAAAGGAAGCUUCGGCCUCCGCAUCGGGAUGGGCCCGCGGCCCAUUAGCUAGUUGGUGGGGUAAUGGCCUACCAAGGCGACGAGUGGGUAGCUGGUCU
rnacentral:rRNA from 1 species